rnacentral:rRNA from 1 species
UACGAGGGGGCGAGCGUUGUUCGGAAUUAUUGGGCGUAAAGGGCGCGUAGGCGGUUGGAUAAGUCUUGUGUGAAAUCUUCGGGACUCAACUCGAAGUCUGCACGAGAAACUAUCUGGCUUGAGUGUGGGGAGAGGUGAAGUUGGAAUUCCUGGUGUAGCGGUGAAAAUGCGUAGAUAUCAGGAGGAACACCUGUGGCGAAAGCGGCUCACUGGACCACAACUGA